UGGUGUCCCCCAUGUGUUGCCUUAUAUAAUACAGAUUAUGAUUGAUUUUUUUAAAAAAGCUAAAUGAGCAAACUCACUAUUAAAAGUAUGCAUAUUUGGAAUUUCUUAGAAUAAUUAUGACCUUUUUAAACUAAAUUGUACUUUUUUCAACCAUAUUUUAGAUUACCAAUAUGUUUUUCCGAAAAUUUUCUAUAUUUAUAAGUCAAUAAGAUCAAAGCAUAUCAUUUUCGAGUCGAAAAUGUCAACAUCAACCAAACCUGUUUGAUUAAAUGGGUCAAUCAUGAUCCCAACCUUAAUCCGCUUAUUUCGGGUUAGGAUUGAAUCGGGUUGUCAGAUAGAGUCACAUUUCGCCAGCCCUACCCAAUAACAAAAAAAAAAAAAGUUGUUUAGUUUAGUGUAGUUUCUCACAUUUUACUCUAGUUUAGACAUUCUCUUAUGUGUUCAAUACAGUUCAGUUCAGUUUCUCGUAAUUCAGUUCAAUUUCUCUAGCUGUUUUCGAGGCUGAAGAGAUUAAUUAACACACCUCCAGAAUACCAAAAAAAAAAAAUACACAAUGGAUUAUGGGUAGAAAAAGAAUUAUCAUAUUGGAGGAUUAUAAUUUUCAAACUUCUAAAUUUUCUUAAAUCCUGCUGAAGAUUCGUCGCAUGAAUCGAUUGUUCUUCGAAUUCUUCGAAGCUUGUUUUGCCCCCUGUUGAUUCUUUGGAAAGGUGGGUUGGAAAGGAGGGAGUGAGGAGCUCAGCAUUCUGCAAAUGGGUUUUGAAUCUCUGCAUCAUGCAUUCAGUAUGUGGUGGGAAUGCCACUUUUCUUCCACCUCAGUUUUGUUUACCCUUAUUAGCUCUGUUGUUGUGUUAGGGUGGAGAAUUGUUUAUGGAUUAAUUCUAGAGGUGAUCAUGGGCGGGGCCGGGCUGGGCCUAAAUUCGGGUCAAAUUUUUGUGUCCAAAGCCCGCUAUUUCGGACCUACAUUAGUGGGCUUUUGCGGGCCAAAACAGGUCAGGCCAAAAAAUAGACUAAAAUGUCAUUUUUGGUUUGCCCAAAGCCCGCCCAAAGCAAAAAAAAAUACAGGCGGGCCAGACCCACGGGCCGAAAAAAUCUGCCCAAAACCCGGCCCAAAAACGGGCCGGCCGGGCCAAAAUGAUCACCUCUAAUCAAUUCGUAGUGGGUUGGAGAGCACAGAAUUGCUCGGGAGAAGCCAGUUUUUGAAGAAAGUGGAAACUGAGGCACUAAGACUUCCUGGAUCAAUGGCAUUGCUUGAUGGAGGUUUAUUAAUUGUAGUCUCCCCCGCUUAUAGUUGGUGUACCCACACCCAAGAAUCUGCUAAAGCAUUGGCAAAUACAAUUUCUACCGUAUGCCAAAACUGUAGGUUGGUCGUUGUGGUUGCAAUGGCGAGUGACAAAGAUCACAGUGAUUUCGCCAAGGAACUCCUUAGUCCUUAUGGGUCUACAUUUUGAAGCUGUUUUCCUGACAGAAGUAGAUAUUGCAGGAGAUAAAUCUCGAAGUGCAUCUGCAUCCUUUUCGAAAGAUAUAUGGACAAAAACAUAAUGACCAUCACUGCUGAAAGUUCAAUAACAAAUUGCUUGGUGGCUAAUAAUAGGAUUCUCAAAGCAAUAAUGGGAGAUCAACCAGAUUGAACAUUGCGAAAGGAACGAUUGUUUUGACGAGAUCUUCAGUUAUUCAAUCCCCCCCCGGGAGGUGUCAAUCUGGGUCACUGGCUGGGUUUGGGUUGACCCAGGCUGGGUCGGAAUGAUUUGGGUCGGAAUAAUCUGGGUGACCCCGUGUCAUGGGUCGGAACUGGGUGGGUCGGGUGAACUUGGGUCGGGUGAAACUGGGUGAGAGGAUCUCGGAACUGGGUCGGGUGAGACUGGGUCGGCCGGUAUCUGGGUUGGGUGAAUUUGGGUCGGAAUGGAAUAAGGUGAAGUCGGUCGAAAUCGGCUUUCGGAAUGACUUGGGUCGGAAGAAAUCGGCUUUCGGAAUAACUUGGGUCGGAAGAAAUCGGCUUUCGGAAUGACUUGGGUCGGAAGAAAUCGGGUUUCGGAAUGACUUGGGUCGGAAGAAAUCGGCUUUCGGGUUACUUGGGUCGGAAGAAAUCGAUAUCGGAAUAACUUGGGUCGGAAGAAAUCGGGUUUCGGAAUGACUUGGGUCGGAAAAAAAGGCUUUCGGGUUACUUGGGUCGGAAGAAAUCGAUAUCGGAAUUCGGAAUAACUUGGGUCGGAAGAAAUCGGGUUUCGGAAUGACUUGGGUCGGAAGAAAUCGGCUUUCGGGUUACUUGGGUCGGAAGAAAUGGAUAUCGGAAUAACUUGGGUCGGAAGAAAUCGGGUUUCGGAAUGACUUGGGUCGGAAGAAAACGGCUUUCGGGUUACUUGUGGUCGGAAGAAAUCGAUAUCGGAAUUCGGAAUAACUUGGGUCGGAAGAAAUCGGGUUUCGGAAUGACUUGGGUCGGAAGAAAUCGGCUUUCGGGUUACUUGGGUCGGAAGAAAUCGAUAUCGGAAUAACUUUGGUAGGAAGAAAUCGGGUUUCGGAAUGACUUGGGUCGGAAGAAAUUGGUUUUCGGGUUACUUGGGUCGGAAUCGAUAUCGGAAUAACUUUGGUCGGAAUAAUUCGACUUCCGGAAAUACUAAGGUUGGAAGAAAUCGGCUUCCGGGUUACUUGGGUCGGAAGAAAUCGAUAUCGGAAUAAGUUGGAUCUCGGUGGGACUUGCCGACUUGGUUCUUGGAACGACUAAAUAUCGAACCGGCAGCUCCGUGGCGUAUUAUGAUAUUGUGGUAUAGAUUAUACUAUUAUAGUCAUUAUACUUUAUACUUAUAGUGGUAUAUUAUAGUAAUCUGUAAUUAUACUGAUAUUGUGAAUUGUGGUUGGGUAAUUGUUAAUUUUUUAAUAAUACAUUGAUUCAUUAAUAGUUUGAUACUUAUAUUAUUAUUAUUAAUUUGAAAUGUUACUACAAUAAGACUUAUAAAUUAUACUUAUAUUAUUGGGUCAUUCACCAUUA